UGGGGAAUAUUGCGCAAUGGAGGGAACUCUGAUGCAGCGACGCCGCGUGAACGAAGAAGGCUUUCGAGUCGUAAAGUUCUUUUAUAUGGGAAGAUAAUGACGGUACCAUAAGAAAAAGCCCCGGCUAACUACGUGCCAGCAGCCGCGGUAAUACGUAGGGGGCUAGCGUUGUCCGGAAUCACUGGGCGUAAAGGGUUCGCAGGCGGAAAUGCAAGUCAGGUGUAAAAGGCAGUAGCUUAACUACUGUAAGCAUUUGAAACUGCAUAUCUUGAGAAGAGUAGAGGUAAGUGGAAUUUUUAGUGUAGCGGUGAAAUGCGUAGAUAUUAAAAAGAAUACCGGUGGCGAAGGCGACUUACUGGGCUCAUUCUGACGCUGAGGAACGAAAGCGUGGGUAGCAAACAGG
rnacentral:rRNA from 1 species